UACGUAGGUGACAAGCGUUGUCCGGAUUUACUGGGCGUAAAGAGCGCGCAGGCGGUCGAUCAAGUCGAGUGUGAAAGCCCCCGGCUCAACUGGGGAGGGUCAUUCGAUACUGAUCGACUCGAAGGCAGGAGAGGGUAGUGGAAUUCCCGGUGUAGUGGUGAAAUGCGUAGAUAUCGGGAGGAAUACCAGUGGCGAAGGCGGCCGGCUGGGCCACGACCGACACUGAGGUGCGAAAGCGUGGGGAGCGAACCGG
rnacentral:rRNA from 1 species